UUGUUUCCUGGGGUUCCCUCCAAACACUUCAGCAGGUCGGCUUUCCUAUACUAGCUCACAGGCUGAAGGGUGAAGUGUUUGGGGAACUCUAGGUGACAA
rnacentral:pre_miRNA from 1 species